AUACGGAGGAUCCGAGCGUUAUCCGGAUUUAUUGGGUUUAAAGGGUGCGCAGGCGGCCAUUUAAGUCAGCGGUUAAAUCGUGGGGCUCAACCCCAUUCUGCCGUUGAUACUGGGUGGCUUGAUUGCGGUCGAGGUUGGCGGAAUUCGUUGUGUAGCGGUGAAAUGCAUAGAUAUGACGAAGAACACCGAUUGCGUAGGCAGCUGACCAGACCGCAAAUGACGCUCAUGCACGAAAGUGCGGGGAUCGAACAGGAUUAGAUACCCUGGUAGGCCGCACAGUAAACGAUGAAUACUUGUUUUCGGCGAUAUAAUGUCGGAGGCAAAGCGAAAGCGAUAAGUAUUCCACCUGGGGAGUACGCCGGCAACGGUGAAACUUAAAGGAAUUGGCGGGG
rnacentral:rRNA from 1 species